CCUACGGGAGGCAGCAGUGGGGAAUAUUGCACAAUGGGGGAAACCCUGAUGCAGCGACGCCGCGUGAGUGACGAAGUAAUUCGUUAUGUAAAGCUCUAUCAGCAGGGAAGAAAAUGACGGUACCUGAGUAAGAAGCCCCGGCUACCUACGUGCCAGCAGCCGCGGUAAUACGUAGGGGGCAAGCGUCAUCCGGAUUUACUGGGUGUAACGGGAGCGUAGACGGCCGUGCAAGUCUGGUGUGAAAGGCGGGGGCUCAACCCCCGGACUGCUCUGGAAACUGUACGGCUGGAGUGCAGGAGAGGUAAGUGGAAUUCCUAGUGUAGCGGUGAAAUGCGUAGAUAUUAGGAGGAACACCAGUGGCGAAGGCGGCUUACUGGACUGUAACUGACGUUGAGGCUCGAAAGCGUGGGGAGCAAACAGGAUUAGAUACCCUGGUAGUC
rnacentral:rRNA from 1 species